UCUUCUCUAGCGUCGUCUUUUCCUCCAUUCAGCAUCAUUCGCCUUUGAUUUUCCUCCUGACGAAUCUCCGAAAAAACUUCCCUCGUUGACGGUAGAGGUUGCUACCCCAGGAUCCUUCCUCUGACAUAGUCUAAUUCACGGUGAAGGGCGGCCAAAAAUUCGAAUACCCUUUCAUUCUCCAGUUUCUUUUGGUAGCAUUCGCAAUCACUUGGACAGUCCCAUUUUUCCUCUGUACUCAAGUCAAGUUCUUGCCAUAAACGCCACCAUCUCCAUGAAAAGAUACGUCUUUCCAAUGAAGGGCUUCAUGGAGUUCACGAGCUACGUAGUCACUAAAGAGUAUUCUGACUUCCAUCGCUGCAAACACCAAUGUUGUUGAGGUAGGCUUCUUCGUAUCACCAAUCAGGUACCCUAAUUUACCUUUCCAUCGAUUACAAGUUUAAUUGACUGAGUGUGUGUGUGUGUGUGUGUGUGUGUGUGUGUGUGAUUUGCAUGUGGAUGUAUGUGCUUGUAAUGCUUGAUGAUCAAUCAAAACGCAUUGUCACGUAUUACGUAUUUUAAAAUCUUGGCUAUAUUUAUUACAUCUUUAACAAGAAAAUUGAGUACCCAAUAGAUUCAAAGCAUACCUUCAGUUCUUGGUAAAGAGUAACAAUGCCCAUGCUUGUAGAAAUCCUCGCAAUCCAUGAGAAAAUGGUGCCAAGAGACUGAUAGACACAUCUCUCUUUUCCCUUCUCCUUCACAAGAUAAUGGUCUCCAUUUUUAGUGCAAAUUGACACCCUAGAUGACACCAAAGCCUCUUGUCCCCUUUCUCCAUUUUUUGUCUCUACCCAAAAGUACACAAAGGGAGAGUUAAAUGGGUGCAGACCGAGCCAAGUUGAGCCCAGCCACCCAACUCACCUAUUGUCAGGCUUGGCUCUUCUCACUCUCGCAUCGUCCCACAAGCUCGUCCCUUGCUGUGGCAAGUCGAGUCGGCUCGUAGCCACCUGAUUCGCAUAUUUUUAUUUUUCUUUUCAAGGCGAAAAUCGCACUUUCGCUCCUUGAAAGUGUAAUAAAAAUGUAAAUUUAUAGCGAAUGUGUAAAUGUAAGAAAUUAAAUAUUUGUAAAAUCCUCAUCCUUUAUUCGGGUUUGGGACCAGCUACAAUACGUAAGUGAGUUAAAACAUUACAAGAAUGAAUAUUUGGUCUAUGAUUUUAUAAGAUAAACGAAUGAAAUAUAUAUAAUGUAAUAACGGUUAGAAACUGAAACAUAAUUACAAUUCUACCUUAGUAGUCUGCAAUUGCACAUCUAAAAAUGAUGCCGAAAAUGCCCACCUUCAUCUUCAUGAAGUCAUUGACGGAUAAACACGUGUGCUUCUAUUUAGGUUCUAAUAGUGCCUAUGCCACUUGUUGUAUCUCGAUCUAAUACAUGAUCUCCUACUAACGCGGUGACCUUGUGCUUGGCAUUGCUGGGUGAGUUUGAGGGACGGGGUUUCUACGAAAACCGGUAGAAAGUAGAGCAGCGAGUCCAUUGGAUCGAAAAUCAUGAAUAAAUGAGCUUGUGUUGGCUAAUAUGAAGGAAUUCUUGAGAGUGAUCAUGUUUAUUGACGCUAGACUGUUUGAUGAUUGUCCCCAAUGAGAUAAGAAAAUAUCGAUUGGUUUUUUCUCGACAGGUUUGUACCACAAGUCGCACAACCAGGUUGAUGCGAGGUCAAAUUAGUGAUCUGAGAAUUAAUUCUUAAGAGUUUUUCACAGCAAUUAAUAGGUAAGAUGUGAAACUUAUAGACUGCGCAUUGGCCUAUUUGUUGAUUAUUUUGGUUUUAAGUCAGCAACUUCCGAAGUAUCCAAAGAAGUUUUGGGUUUUUAACUUGCAAUGGAACAUGAUUUAAACAUUCUAAAGGAAAUGAAAGAAUCUCUUUCCUUUUUUGGACUU